rnacentral:rRNA from 1 species
UCGAGCGAACAGAUAAGGAGCUUGCUCCUUUGACGUUAGCGGCGGACGGGUGAGUAACACGUGGAUAACCUACCUAUAAGACUGGGAUAACUUCGGGAAACCGGAGCUAAUACCGGAUAACAUAUUGAACCGCAUGGUUCAAUAGUGAAAGGCGGCUUUGCUGUCACUUAUAGAUGGAUCCGCGCCGUAUUAGCUAGUUGGUAAGGUAACGGCUUACCAAGGCAACGAUACGUAGCCGACCUGAGAGGGUGAUCGGCCACACUGGAACUGAGACACGGUCCAGACUCCUACGGGAGGCAGCAGUAGGGAAUCUUCCGCAAUGGGCGAAAGCCUGACGGAGCAACGCCGCGUGAGUGAUGAAGGUCUUCGGAUCGUAAAACUCUGUUAUCAGGGAAGAACAAAUGUGUAAGUAACUGUGCACAUCUUGACGGUACCUGAUCAGAAAGCCACGGCUAACUACGUGCCAGCAGCCGCGGUAAUACGUAGGUGGCAAGCGUUAUCCGGAAUUAUUGGGCGUAAAGCGCGCGUAGGCGGUUUUUUAAGUCUGAUGUGAAAGCCCACGGCUCAACCGUGGAGGGUCAUUGGAAACUGGAAAACUUGAGUGCAGAAGAGGAAAGUGGAAUUCCAUGUGUAGCGGUGAAAUGCGCAGAGAUAUGGAGGAACACCAGUGGCGAAGGCGACUUUCUGGUCUGUAACUGACGCUGAUGUGCGAAAGCGUGGGGAUCAAACAGGAUUAGAUACCCUGGUAGUCCACGCCGUAAACGAUGAGUGCUAAGUGUUAGGGGGUUUCCGCCCCUUAGUGCUGCAGCUAACGCAUUAAGCACUCCGCCUGGGGAGUACGACCGCAAGGUUGAAACUCAAAGGAAUUGACGGGGA